rnacentral:ncRNA from 1 species
UAUAUAAAUUUGACUUUGGUUUAGUUUUUAAUUAUUAUGGUUUUAUACAUGUUAGGUUUUAGUUUAUAUUAAUUAUGUUGUUCGUGAAAUUUUCUUAUUGUUGUAUUUUAAUAUAUAUUAUUUAAUAUAUUUAUAUUUGGAUAUAAUAUUUAAUUAUUAGAUAGAAUUUAAUAUGAUUUUAUAGAAAGUUUUCAGUAUAUAUAUUUAUACAAUGAAUGUAAGUUUUAUAUAGAGAUUGUAAAUUAUUAUUGGAUAAAUUUGUGCCAGCAUCUGCGGUUAUACAUAUAAUAUAAAUUAAAAAUUUUUGGUUAAAAAUAAAGUUAAGUUGAUUAUUGAUUGUGGAAGUAUUAUAAUUGAUUUUUUGGUAAAAUUAAAUAAAUGAUUUGUUUAUUAAAUAAAUCAUUAUUAUUGAUUCUUUGAAAUUUUAAAAAAAAACAAGGAUUAGAUACCCUAUUAUUUUAUUAUGAAAAAGUUGAUUUAUAUUUACCUAAGUAUUAUGAAGAUUAUAUAAUGUUUUAUAAAUAUUGUUUAAAACUUAAAAGGUUUGGCGGUUUUACAUAUCCAGUUAGGGGAGUCUGUUAAUAUAAUUUGAUAAUCCACAUUUUAAACUAAUUUCUUUUUGAUAUAAUAAUUAUAGUUAUGUAAUUGUAACAGUUUAUAUAUUGCUGUCGUCAGUUUAUAUUUUAAAAGUGAAAGAACUAGAUAAUUUUUUUAUUUUAAUGUCAAGUCAAAAUGUAGCUUAUGAAGAAGGUUUAAUGGACUACUUUAAUUAAUUUUAUUUAUAAUCCGGAUGAUGAAAAUUAUAUUUUGUUAAUAAGGUGGACUUAAUAGUAAGUUGGUGAUUAGUAUGCAUGACUGAAUAUUGGUUUUUUAAGAUGUACAUAUCGCCCGUCACUCUUGUUGUAUUAAAUAAGAUAAGUCGUAACAUAGUAGAGGUAAUGGAAAUUGUUUCUGGAAUAUAUAAUAUC